rnacentral:tRNA from 1 species
UUUAAAGUAAGCUAUCUAAGCUAUCGGGUUCAUACCCCGAAUAUGAUUUUUAUCCUUUAUAG